AGGAACGGUUUUCUCGGAGCGAUUCAGACUGAAUUUUCUCGGCGAUUCUAGGGUUUCUCCUUGGUUCUGUCCGGAGCCAAUUUUACUUGGGUCUCCCGAUUCUGGGUUUCAUCGUUAUGGGGGAGCCUUCCGGACCAAGCAAUUCAUGGGCCGCCAUUGAUUCUUCCAAUAUAGGGUUUCAGACAUGGGUGCAACUUGAACAUCGCAGCUCCUGAAGAAGCAUGGUUGGAAGGAAGGGAGUGGUCUCGGAGUUGCAGAACAGGGGAGGUUAGAGCCGGUAGAGGCACAGUUGAAACAUAAUAAACGGGGACUGGGAGCAGACAGACCAAAAAAGAAAAGAACAAAACCUCAGACGACAACUUCUCAAAAUGAUGAAAAGGGAGAAGAAGGAGGAGUUUCAAAGAAAAGCAAGAAACUUUCUAAGAAGAUGAGGAAGAUGAUGGAGUUUGAAAAGCAUUUACAGGAAAAGGAGUUCGAAAGAGCCUUCUUUAGGGAGUUUUGGCCUGACAACGUUUAAGGAUGAUGAAUGCCUUCUUUAGGGACUUCUGUUGUGUUGUUGAUUCUUUUGUUGUAAGCUCUCACACUCUCUAUGUAAAGGUUUUUGGUUCACACACGGAAGAAAAGCCUAUAGCUUUUGAAGA